UACAGAGGGUGCAAGCGUUAAUCGGAAUUACUGGGCGUAAAGCGUGCGUAGACGGUUAUUUAAGUCAGGUGUGAAAGCCCCGGGCUCAACCUGGGAAUUGCAUUUGAGACUGAAUAGCUAGGGUGCGGAAGAGGGAAGCGGAAUUUCCGGUGUAGCGGUGAAAUGCGUAGAGAUCCGGAAGAACACCGGUGGCGAAGGCGGUCUGCUGGGCAGGUGCUGACACUGAGGCGCGACAGCGUGGGGAGCAAACAGGG
rnacentral:rRNA from 1 species